rnacentral:rRNA from 1 species
AUUGAACGCUGGCGGCAUGCUUUACACAUGCAAGUCGAACGGUAACAGGCCGCAAGGUGCUGACGAGUGGCGAACGGGUGAGUAAUGCAUCGGAACGUGCCCAGUCGGGGGGGAUAACGCAGCGAAAGCUGCGCUAACACCGCAUACGAUCCCUGGAUGAAAGCGGGGGACCGCAAGGCCUCGCGCGAUUGGAGCGGCCGAUGUCAGAUUAGGUAGGUGGUGGGGUAAAGGCCCACCAAGCCAACGAUCCGUAGCUGGUCUGAGAGGACGACCAGCCACACUGGGACUGAGACACGGCCCAGACUCCUACGGGAGGCAGCAGUGGGGAAUUUUGGACAAUGGGCGCAAGCCUGAUCCAGCAAUGCCGCGUGCAGGAAGAAGGCCUUCGGGUUGUAAACUGCUUUUGUACGGAACGAAACGGUCCGGGCUAAUACCCUGGGCUAAUGACGGUACCGUAAGAAUAAGCACCGGCUAACUACGUGCCAGCAGCCGCCGUAA